rnacentral:rRNA from 1 species
AUUGAACGCUGGCGGCAUGCCUUACACAUGCAAGUCGAACGGCAGCACGGGAGCAAUCCUGGUGGCGAGUGGCGAACGGGUGAGUAAUAUAUCGGAACGUGCCCAGUCGUGGGGAUAACGUAGCGAAAGCUACGCUAAUACCGCAUACGAUCUAUGGAUGAAAGCGGGGGAUCGCAAGACCUCGCGCGAUUGGAGCGGCCGAUAUCAGAUUAGGUAGUUGGUGAGGUAAAGGCUCACCAAGCCGACGAUCUGUAGCUGGUCUGAGAGGACGACCAGCCACACUGGGACUGAGACACGGCCCAGACUCCUACGGGAGGCAGCAGUGGGGAAUUUUGGGACAAUGGGCGCAAGCCUGAUCCAGCAAUGCCGCGUGCAGGAUGAAGGCCUUCGGGUUGUAACUAGCUUUGUUACGGAACGAAACGGUGAGCUCUAAUACAGUUUGCUAAUGACGGUACCGUAAGAAUAAG